UCAAACUUGGUCAUUUAGAGGAAGUAAAAGUCGUAACAAGGUUUCCGUAGGUGAACCUGCGGAAGGAUCAUUACAAGGAAAGGGUGCCGGAAACGGUGCCCCUACCCACCCGUGUUUACUGUACCUUUGUUGCUUUGGCGGGCCCGCUGCACCCCAUCAAUUGGGGGAAGGCCGCUGGCGUCUUUGCACGCCGGCCAGCGCUCGUCAAGGGAAUUUUUUGGAACCCUAUGUUGACCAUGUACGCUCUGAGUGGUGAUUAAAAUCAGUUAAAACUUUCAACAAAGGAUCUCUUGGUUCUGGCAUCGAUGAAGAACGCAGC
rnacentral:misc_RNA from 1 species